rnacentral:misc_RNA from 1 species
GCCCUCCCUCUCACUCAAGCAGUAGCUCGUCGCCAGUUGUCGCACGUUUGAUGUUUCGCCCCAGUCGUCAUUCGUCAGCUGCCAUCGGGAAGCGCACAUCACGUUCGCCAGAGACUUCAUAAGCUGCCAACGCCAUGGGUUUCGUUCCAACCGGAUGUUUACCGCUCGCGUUCAGCCACUGAAUGCUAUCUCUUCGUCCCGAGAUCAUGCCGCCCACCGUUGCGCACCACUUCCAGCCAUCGCGUAGCCUUCUAUCGCCAUCGUCUCUUUGUGUUUUCACCAAAAUCUUAGAUAUUUUUUGGGCAAGUUUGGUGUUAUUCCAAAAUUGAACCCAA